rnacentral:rRNA from 1 species
UGGGGAAUUGUUCACAAUGGGCGCAAGCCUGAUGACGCAACGCCGCGUGGGGGAUGAAGGUCUUCGGAUCGUAAACCCCUGUCGAAUGGGACGAAAGACUCGCGAGUGAAUACUUCGCGAGAGUGACGGUACCGUUAAAGGAAGCCACGGCUAACUCUGUGCCAGCAGCCGCGGUAAUACAGAGGUGGCAAGCGUUGUUCGGAUUUACUGGGCGUAAAGGGCGCGUAGGCGGCAUGACAAGUCACUUGUGAAAUCUCUGGGCUUAACCCAGAACGGCCAAGUGAUACUGUCGCGCUAGAGUGCAGAAGGGGCAAUCGGAAUUCUUGGUGUAGCGGUGAAAUGCGUAGAUAUCAAGAGGAACACCUGAGGUGAAGACGGGUUGCUGGGCUGACACUGACGCUGAGGCGCGAAAGCCAGGGGAGCAAACGGGAUUAGAUACCCUCGUAGUCCCUGAGCGGGCUGGCAAGGCGCAU